rnacentral:ribozyme from 1 species
AAUGUCAUUUCUCUGAUCCUCUCCUCUUUGACAAACCAGAAAUGGAUCGGGGGGGCUGUACUGCUUUCGUGAACCUGCGUGUGGGGGGGGAGGCUGUUCCAACUUUUUCUUUUCCCCUUUUUUUUUUUGUGUUUCCCUUCUUCCCAUCCAUGGGGGGAGGUUUUUUUUAUUU